CUAAAGGCCCUUUUCAGGGCCAUCCAAUUAAUCCUCCAAAGGGUUG
rfam:Mus musculus chromosome 13, GRC primary reference assembly.